GGGCUCGUAGUGAAGUGGUUAUCACGCCUCCCUGUCACGGAGGAGAUCGCCGGUUCAAAUCCGGUCGAGCCCGCCA
rnacentral:tRNA from 2 species